CCUACGGGUGGCUGCAGUGGGGAAUAUUGGACAAUGGGCGAAAGCCUGAUCCAGCCAUGCCGCGUGUGUGAAGAAGGCCUUCGGGUUGUAAAGCACUUUCAGUGGGGAAGAAAGCCUUGGGGCUAAUACCCUCGAGGAAGGACAUCACCCACAGAAGAAGCACCGGCUAACUCCGUGCCAGCAGCCGCGGUAAUACGGAGGGUGCGAGCGUUAAUCGGAAUUACUGGGCGUAAAGCGCGCGUAGGCGGUCUGAUAAGCCGGUUGUGAAAGCCCCGGGCUCAACCUGGGAACGGCAUCCGGAACUGUCAGGCUAGAGUGCAGGAGAGGAAGGUAGAAUUCCCGGUGUAGCGGUGAAAUGCGUAGAGAUCGGGAGGAAUACCAGUGGCGAAGGCGGCCUUCUGGACUGACACUGACGCUGAGGUGCGAAAGCGUGGGUAGCAAACAGGAUUAGAUACCCUAGAGUC
rnacentral:rRNA from 1 species